AUUGAACGCUGGCGGCAGGCCUAACACAUGCAAGUCGAACGAGUGGCGGACGGGUGAGUAAUGUCUGGGAAACUGCCCGAUGGAGGGGGAUAACUACUGGAAACGGUAGCUAAUACCGCAUACCAUCGGAUGUGCCCAGAUGGGAUUAGCUAGUAGGUGGGGUAACGGCUCACCUAGGCGACGAUCCCUAGCUGGUCUGAGAGGAUGACCGGCCACACGGGAACUUAGACACGGUCCAGACUCCUACGUGAGGCAGCAGGGGGGAAUAUUGCAAAAUGGGCGAAAGCCUGAUGAAGCCAGGCCGGGUGUAUGAAGAAGGCCUGCGGGUGGUAAAGUACUUUCAGCGAGGAGGCUUUACUCGCAGAAGAAGCACCGGCUAACGCCGUGCCAGCCGCCGCGGUAAUUC
rnacentral:rRNA from 1 species